CGAGCGGAAAGGCCCCUUCGGGGGUACUCGAGCGGCGAACGGGUGAGUAACACGUGAGUAACCUGCCCUUGACUUCGGGAUAAGCCUGGGAAACUGGGUCUAAUACCGGAUACGACCAUCCUGGGCAUCUGGGGUGGUGGAAAGUUUUUCGGUUGGGGAUGGGCUCGCGGCCUAUCAGCUUGUUGGUGGGGUGAUGGCCUACCAAGGCUUCGACGGGUAACCGGCCUGAGAGGGCGACCGGUCACACUGGGACUGAGACACGGCCCAGACUCCUACGGGAGGCAGCAGUGGGGAAUAUUGCGCAAUGGGCGGAAGCCUGACGCAGCGACGCCGCGUGGGGGAUGACGGCCUUCGGGUUGUAAACCUCUUUCAGCAGGGACGAAGCGUAAGUGACGGUACCUGUAGAAGAAGCGCCGGCUAACUACGUGCCAGCACCGG
rnacentral:rRNA from 1 species